AGCAGCCGCGGUAAUUCCAGCUCCAAUAGCGUAUAUUAAAGUUGUUGCAGUUAAAAAGCUCGUAGUUGAAUUUCGGAAUCAGUGGAUCGGUCAUGCCACUCGGUGUGUACUGGUUUGAUUGGUUCUCACCUUCUAAGGAACCGUGAUGUCAUUAAUUUGGUGUCGCGGGGAAUUAGGACUGUUACCUUGAAAAAAUUAGAGUGUUUAAAGCAAGCUCACGUUUGAAUACAUUAGCAUGGAAUAAUGAAAUAGGACAUUGUAUUCUAUUUUGUUGGUUUCUAGGAUCGAUGUAAUGAUUAAUAGGGAUAGUUGGGGGCAUUAGUAUUCAAUUGUCAGAGGUGAAAUUCUUGGAUUUAUUGAAGACUAACUACUGCGAAAGCAUUUGCCAAGGAUGUUUUCAUUAAUCAAGAACGAAAGUUAGGGGAUCGAAGACGAUCAGAUACCGUCGUAGUCUUAACCGUAAACUGUGCCGACUAGGGAUCGGAUGAUGUUAAUUUUUUAAUGACUCAUUCGGCACCUU
rnacentral:misc_RNA from 1 species